rnacentral:rRNA from 1 species
AGCCAGCAGCCGCGGUAAUACGGAGGAUGCGAGCGUUAUCCGGAUUUAUUGGGUUUAAAGGGUGCGUAGGCGGGUUUGUAAGUCAGUGGUGAAAGACUGUCGCUUAACGAUAGCAUUGCCAUUGAUACUGCAGAUCUUGAGUAUAAUUGAGGUAGGCGGAAUGUGUAGUGUAGCGGUGAAAUGCUUAGAUAUUACACAGAACACCGAUUGCGAAGGCAGCUUACUAAACUAUAACUGACGCUGAGGCACGAAAGCGUGGGGAUCAAACAGGAUUAGAUACCCUGGUAGUCCACGCUGUAAACGAUGAUCACUGGAUGUAUGCGAUACAAUGUAUGCGUCUGAGUAAAAGCAUUAAGUGAUCCACCUGGGGAGUACGUCGGCAACGAUGAAACUUAAAGGAAUUGGCGGGGGAC